UGGCGGCGUGCCUAAUACAUGCAAGUCGAACGCACUCUCGUUUAGAUUGAAGGAGCUUGCUCCUGAUUGAUAACAUUUGAGUGAGUGGCGGACGGGUGAGUAACACGUGGGUAACCUGCCCUAAAGUGGGGGAUAACAUUUGGAAACAGAUGCUAAUACCGCAUAAAACCUAACACCGCAUGGUGUAGGGUUGAAAGAUGGUUUCGGCUAUCACUUUAGGAUGGACCCGCGGUGCAUUAGUUAGUUGGUGAGGUAAAGGCUCACCAAGACCGUGAUGCAUAGCCGACCUGAGAGGGUAAUCGGCCACACUGGGACUGAGACACGGCCCAGACUCCUACGGGAGGCAGCAGUAGGGAAUCUUCCACAAUGGACGAAAGUCUGAUGGAGCAACGCCGCGUGAGUGAAGAAGGUUUUCGGAUCGUAAAACUCUGCUGUUGGAGAAGAAUGUAUCUGAUAGUAACUGAUCAGGUAGUGACGGUAUCCAACCAGAAAGCCACGGCUAACUACGUG
rnacentral:rRNA from 1 species